CAACCGGCAGAAACACACUCGACACACCCGGGAGAAACACACCCGACACAACCGGGAGGAACACACCCGACACAACCGGGAGAAACACACUCGACACACCCGGGAGAAACACACCCGACACACCUGGGAGUAACACACCCGACACACCCGGGAGAAACACACCCGACACACCUGGGAGUAACACACCCGACACAACCGGGAGAAACACAACCGGGAGAAACACAACCGGGAGAAACACACCCGACGCAACCGGGAGAAACACACCCCACACAACCUGGAGAAACACACCUGACACACCCGGGAGAAACACACCCGACACAACCAGGAGAAACACACAUGACCAGCAGCGACAAGGCAUCAGAGCAUGGGAAGAUAGUUUGAUGUUUUCUGGAUGUAAAUACUGAAACCAAAUCACAGCGACACAGAGCCUUUGCCUUCUUGUAUUUGCAUUUUGCUUCAGGUUGCUCGUUUGAGUUAAUCUGUGUGUGGCUUACAUCGUGGUUUGAAGCCUCCCAUCUGAGGAAGAUUUAAAAAAGGCCUAAAAUUUGGUGAAGGAAUGGUGAAAGUUUUUCCCGAUCAAAUAUUUUUUUUACAUCCAAGCACUUUAUAAGUAUACAAGUAUGUGUACUUACACAUUAUUCAACAUGUUAGUAUGCUGCUUCAGUGCAAUAUCAUUGAAUGUUUACAUUUGUAUGAAGAUGGUACACACCAGGAGGCCACCUCAUCGGCCUUUAACCAAUCAGACAUCACCACACUAUCAAAGGGCACACCUGAGACUUAUUGUCUUAUUGGCCACUGACCAAAACAGUUGAGUUAGGUUACGUUUUUAACUUCCUAGAAUAUUACUACUGAUAUUGAAUUUUUUCAUUAUUAUUGUUAUUAUGGACAUUUAAAGGGGGACUCUGUCAUGCUCAGAGCGAUUCAGCUUGUCGUAUAAUGUCCUCUGUGGUUCCCACAAGUCUGACAAAAUAACCGUGAUAACGUUGGAGUGAUGUCAUCAAGGUUAUCUUCAUUUGUAACUCAGUAAUUUAACAAAAAGCUUACGUUGGGAAACUAGGGAGUACAGUUAUUGCAAGGCAGAUAUGAUUUAAGAAAUGCUAUUAAUUCUGAUGAUGGAUGGGAGACGUAGCCGUGAGGGGUUUUGUACUUUGACCCAAUCUUGGGACUAAAAGUCAUUUAUCAAACUCGGCUAAUUUUGGCCCCUGUGGGACCGACAGACUUGAGUCAACAGUCAAAACACUGGCAUUCAGCUGCAAUUCCCUUUUUGCAUUGUUUUGUAAUUUAUCCUCUUUUAUAACUAUAAAAAGAGUAAGAGUAAUAUUUUUGAAAAGUGGAUGAAGCUUCAAUAAUUUCACCGGGCGUUGUGCCUUGCAUUACGGCUUCUUCAAAUUCCGAAGGUGUACCUUUAUUUCAUGGCCUGUACCAUAACAUACAGUAGUGUUAAAUGUACAGCAUUAACCAUUCUGCAUUCACAUUUAAUUUAUUUAAUUGCCUCUCUUUGGACAACAGAAUGUUGACCACAACGAUUUUACAAAUGUGCCACGUUUUCGCAUUUGUUUAUAUUUAUUAGCAGUGUGUGAUAUUGUUUUUGGUAUCAAGUGACAACUAUAAUAAGAAGCCUUACAAGAACUCUGUCCUCAAAGAAGCUGUUGGCGUUUGUCUGCAGUAGUAGACCGUUGUGUAACCUAGAGAGCAUAGUGGACAUCGUGGUCCGGUUCAGCUGCGGUGACAUUACAUGCAAACCACCAGUAGCCUCGUUCUAUAUUAUAUAUAGAAUUUGAAUGGAUGGUGAAGGAAAAUGUUUGAAUAAAAAGUCAUACAGACACUCUGACAUAUUUAAAAUUCCCUGUGGGACUUAAUUUAGAUAAAUGGAAUUUAGGACCUACGCCCAUAGAGCAGUGGAGCAUGUGUCCUUGUUUAGCAUUUAGUUUUACACAUCUCCAUUGUCACCUCGCUUCAAUGUCAAAUUGACGAGGUGGUUGUGAAUGUCUUGCUCCUGCUAUGUUUCCACUGCUGUCCGACAUGUUUUCACACACGCUCAUAAGGAAGGAAUAAUUGUGUGUGUUUGUGUGUCGAGUUGUGAGCCCUGCUAAUUUAACUCGGUGUGCACCAGAGAUUAAUUUACUGUAGAUCAGUUUGGAAGAAGGCGUACAGAACAUCAAUAAAGUGUUUUCGGUAUCUCAAA